rnacentral:lncRNA from 1 species
CUAAAGAAACAGGCUCAGAGAAUGUUAUUUGAUUGGACUGUGUUGCAUCUCUGGACAGUGCAGCUGAGAUCAGACUUCAUGUGUAACUCCACUACCCUACCAGGAUGCUUCUCAUAAAG